ACUAAAUAAACUUUCUCUCAAUAAGCAAUAAGAACAGGUUCUUCUCUACAGACCAUAUCACUGAAUGGGCAGUACAGGAAUCAACCUGAGUAAAAAUAGGUGAUCAUCUCUGGAGUGCUCUUGAUCGUCUUGUAUUCUUCGCAGGCCAGCCAGAACAGGAUGUUCUCCUCACUGUACUCUGACCUCAGAAACUCCUGGAAAGCUGCCUGACCAGCUACAGUUGGAAGACCCGGAAACAACACUUCAUGAGCACAGACUGACCCACCCUACUCAGGCUACAUCUGCACUACCACUUCACCAAGUCUGCGCAUCAAAAAUGCACUUACUUGCAGUAGUGAACCAAAGUGAAGAUCCAUGCCUUUCAAAUGUACUUUGACAACUUCACAGAAAGAACUUUAAAAUCCC